GGGGUGUGGCUAGGGGGUCGCUGGAGCCCGAGGUGCUCCGCGUCGGUGGUGCAGGUUGGGUGAGAAAAGACCCGGAUCCCAGGACUUAUCUUCGUAUUUUAGCGUUUCGUGUGAACCCGUGUGAAGCUUAAGCGGAAACAAGCCCCCGAACACUUAAGGACUCGCAUCCCCGCCGCUUCUGCCGUGACUUGAACUCUUUUCAGAAACUGUACAGAUUUAAUACCAGCAAAAGGAGCCGAGUUACCAGGUCCCCUUCAGGCGCGCGAAGGGCUUGUGUCACACCGUAUCUCUCUUCUCCAAUCCCCGGCCGACACAAAAUUGCGCGUGUGUGUGCCCGAUCCUUCCCUCCUUGCCGAAGCCCAAGCAGCUCGCAGCAUUCGCGGGCUAUAAAGCCUGGGGCUGCUGGGCAGGAACGCAGCUCGGGGACGGAGUUGGGCGGGGCCGAGCGCCGGGACUGCCCGGGCGCGGGGCGCAGCCAACCAGCGGCCGCGGAGGCGGGUCGGCGUGGGCAGAGGGGCGCGGGCUGUCACAGGCGCCUGGCGCGCGCUGCAGGUGGCAACUUGGAGGUGCCACCGCCGCCGCCGCAAGAGGGCCCGGGUCUGGCGGCCCCUUCCGGCCUCCGGGAGCCCUUUCCCGCCACCGAGCGGAGAUCGGACGAGGGAGAAUCCGCAGGAAAAAGCCUCUGCGCAGGGACCCGUGAGCAGCCCUACCUCUCCUCUGCCCUUCCGCUACUUUUUUUCUUCGAGGAAGGUUGUGCCGGGAAGCGGCGACCAGGCUUCGUGAGAGGCCGGAGAGGGACACUCCCGGCGACGCAGGAUCAGACUCGGAAUCCAAGCCGGAGCAGGAGGCCGAGCCCCAGGAGGCGGCGGGGCACGAGGGGGCGCAGCCGGGGGCGCAGCCGGGCCCAGAGCCGGCCGCCGAGGAGCAGCCCCAGGCGCCGGAGCAGUUCGAGGAGGCGGCAGCACACAGCACGCCGGUGAGGAAGGAGGUGAGCCUGCAUCGCCCCGUACCUCUGGCAUUCCAACUCAGAACCAUGAAUGAAUGUC
ensembl:lncRNA